UGCCCCAUGGCUGAGUUGGUUACAGCGUCCGACUGUUAGGCAGAUCAAUCGGAAGGUCGUGAGUUCGAGCCUCACUGGGGCAG